rnacentral:rRNA from 1 species
UUAAGCGACUAAGCGUACACGGUGGAUGCCCUGGCAGUCAGAGGCGAUGAAGGACGUGCUAAUCUGCGAUAAGCGUCGGUAAGGUGAUAUGAACCGUUAUAACCGGCGAUUUCCGAAUGGGGAAACCCAGUGUGAUUCGUCACACUAUCAUUAACUGAAUCCAUAGGUUAAUGAGGCGAACCGGGGGAACUGAAACAUCUAAGUACCCCGAGGAAAAGAAAUCAACCGAGAUUCCCCCAGUAGCGGCGAGCGAACGGGGAGCAGCCCAGAGCCUGAAUCAGUGUGUGUGUUAGUGGAAGCGUCUGGAAAGGCGCGCGAUACAGGGUGACAGCCCCGUACACAAAAAUGCACAUACUGUGAGCUCGAUGAGUAGGGCGGGACACGUGGUAUCCUGUCUGAAUAUGGGGGGACCAUCCUCCAAGGCUAAAUACUCCUGACUGACCGAUAGUGAACCAGUACCGUGAGGGAAAGGCGAAAAGAACCCCGGCGAGGGGAGUGAAAAAGAACCUGAAACCGUGUACGUACAAGCAGUGGGAGCACAGAGCAAUCUGUGUGACUGCGUACCUUUUGUAUAAUGGGUCAGCGACUUAUAUUCUGUAGCAAGGUUAACCGAAUAGGGGAGCCGAAGGGAAACCGAGUCUUAACUGGGCGUUAAGUUGCAGGGUAUAGACCCGAAACCCGGUGAUCUAGCCAUGGGCAGGUUGAAGGUUGGGUAACACUAACUGGAGGACCGAACCGACUAAUGUUGAAAAAUUAGCGGAUGACUUGUGGCUGGGGGUGAAAGGCCAAUCAAACCGGGAGAUAGCUGGUUCUCCCCGAAAGCUAUUUAGGUAGCGCCUCGUGAAUUCAUCUCCGGGGGUAGAGCACUGUUUCGGCAAGGGGGUCAUCCCGACUUACCAACCCGAUGCAAACUGCGAAUACCGGAGAAUGUUAUCACGGGAGACACACGGCGGGUGCUAACGUCCGUCGUGAAGAGGGAAACAACCCAGACCGCCAGCUAAGGUCCCAAAGUCAUGGUUAAGUGGGAAACGAUGUGGGAAGGCCCAGACAGCCAGGAUGUUGGCUUAGAAGCAGCCAUCAUUUAAAGAAAGCGUAAUAGCUCACUGGUCGAGUCGGCCUGCGCGGAAGAUGUAACGGGGCUAAACCAUGCACCGAAGCUGCGGCAGCGACGCUUAUGCGUUGUUGGGUAGGGGAGCGUUCUGUAAGCCUGCGAAGGUGUGCUGUGAGGCAUGCUGGAGGUAUCAGAAGUGCGAAUGCUGACAUAAGUAACGAUAAAGCGGGUGAAAAGCCCGCUCGCCGGAAGACCAAGGGUUCCUGUCCAACGUUAAUCGGGGCAGGGUGAGUCGACCCCUAAGGCGAGGCCGAAAGGCGUAGUCGAUGGGAAACAGGUUAAUAUUCCUGUACUUGGUGUUACUGCGAAGGGGGGACGGAGAAGGCUAUGUUGGCCGGGCGACGGUUGUCCCGGUUUAAGCGUGUAGGCUGGUUUUCCAGGCAAAUCCGGAAAAUCAAGGCUGAGGCGUGAUGACGAGGCACUACGGUGCUGAAGCAACAAAUGCCCUGCUUCCAGGAAAAGCCUCUAAGCAUCAGGUAACAUCAAAUCGUACCCCAAACCGACACAGGUGGUCAGGUAGAGAAUACCAAGGCGCUUGAGAGAACUCGGGUGAAGGAACUAGGCAAAAUGGUGCCGUAACUUCGGGAGAAGGCACGCUGAUAUGUAGGUGAAGCGACUUGCUCGUGGAGCUGAAAUCAGUCGAAGAUACCAGCUGGCUGCAACUGUUUAUUAAAAACACAGCACUGUGCAAACACGAAAGUGGACGUAUACGGUGUGACGCCUGCCCGGUGCCGGAAGGUUAAUUGAUGGGGUCAGCGCAAGCGAAGCUCUUGAUCGAAGCCCCGGUAAACGGCGGCCGUAACUAUAACGGUCCUAAGGUAGCGAAAUUCCUUGUCGGGUAAGUUCCGACCUGCACGAAUGGCGUAAUGAUGGCCAGGCUGUCUCCACCCGAGACUCAGUGAAAUUGAACUCGCUGUGAAGAUGCAGUGUACCCGCGGCAAGACGGAAAGACCCCGUGAACCUUUACUAUAGCUUGACACUGAACAUUGAGCCUUGAUGUGUAGGAUAGGUGGGAGGCUUUGAAGUGUGGACGCCAGUCUGCAUGGAGCCGACCUUGAAAUACCACCCUUUAAUGUUUGAUGUUCUAACGUGACCCGUAAUCCGGGUUGCGGACAGUGUCUGGUGGGUAGUUUGACUGGGGCGGUCUCCUCCUAAAGAGUAACGGAGGAGCACGAAGGUUGGCUAAUCCUGGUCGGACAUCAGGAGGUUAGUGCAAUGGCAUAAGCCAGCUUGACUGCGAGCGUGACGGCGCGAGCAGGUGCGAAAGCAGGUCAUAGUGAUCCGGUGGUUCUGAAUGGAAGGGCCAUCGCUCAACGGAUAAAAGGUACUCCGGGGAUAACAGGCUGAUACCGCCCAAGAGUUCAUAUCGACGGCGGUGUUUGGCACCUCGAUGUCGGCUCAUCACAUCCUGGGGCUGAAGUAGGUCCCAAGGGUAUGGCUGUUCGCCAUUUAAAGUGGUACGCGAGCUGGGUUUAGAACGUCGUGAGACAGUUCGGUCCCUAUCUGCCGUGGGCGCUGGAGAACUGAGGGGGGCUGCUCCUAGUACGAGAGGACCGGAGUGGACGCAUCACUGGUGUUCGGGUUGUCAUGCCAAUGGCACUGCCCGGUAGCUAAAUGCGGAAGAGAUAAGUGCUGAAAGCAUCUAAGCACGAAACUUGCCCCGAGAUGAGUUCUCCCUGACUCCUUGAGAGUCCUGAAGGAACGUUGAAGACGACGACGUUGAUAGGCCGGGUGUGUAAGCGCAGCGAUGCGUUGAGCUAACCGGUACUAAUGAACCGUGAGGCUUAACCU